GAUGAACGCUGGCGGCGUGCCUAAUACAUGCAAGUCGAGCGAAUGGAUUAAGAGCUUGCUCUUAUGAAGUUAGCGGCGGACGGGUGAGUAACACGUGGGUAACCUGCCCAUAAGACUGGGAUAACUCCGGGAAACCGGGGCUAAUACCGGAUAACAUUUUGAACCGCAUGGUUCGAAAUUGAAAGGCGGCUUCGGCUGUCACUUAUGGAUGGACCCGCGUCGCAUUAGCUAGUUGGUGAGGUAACGGCUCACCAAGGCAACGAUGCGUAGCCGACCUGAGAGGGUGAUCGGCCACACGGGGACUGAGACACGGCCCAGACUCCUACGGGAGGCAGCAGUAGGGAAUCUUCCGCAAUGGACGAAAGUCUGACGGAGCAACGCCGCGUGGGUGAUGAAGGCUUUCGGGUCGUAAAACUCUGUUGUUAGGGAAGAACAAGUGCUAGUUGAAUAAGCUGGCACCUUGACGGUACCUAACCAGAAAGCCACGGCUAACUACGUGCCAGCCGCCGCCCGUAA
rnacentral:rRNA from 1 species